UAUCCUUCCCUUCGAACCCACACCAAACAUAGCCUAAGACAAAAACCUCUUACGCGAUCUGAUGGGAAGCGUGGGCGUGGAAGGUACGAGCGAGACAGUGAAGAAUGAGUAAGGGAAGAUGAUACAGAGUCGUUGAGGAUGUCAUCGUCAUUGCGGAGAGGGAUGGAUUUGAGAACAAGGCGGUCGUGGUCCUCAUCGCUACUGGUGCUAGAGGUGAUUGGUGUUCUCAUUGCCACUUCGCCACUGAUGCUAGAGGAAGUCGUCGUCCUCGUUAAUGUAAUUUUGUAAAAAAAACCCUAACCCACUUUCGUUUCCCCCUCCUCUCUCUCUGCGCGAUGCCGCCAGUCCACCCGCCUUCUCUCUCAAUUUCACCACCGCCGCGUCCUCAGCCACAUUCUCUCUCAAUAUCGCCGUCCCGACCUCAUCACCGCUGUGAACUUGCUGUCGCCUCACUUGCAGACAGCGCGUGUCUCCAUCUCCGAUGCCGUGCUCAUUGUCGCUUGUUCCAGACGCUUCUUCCAUCUGUUGGGUGGGGAUUGUUGCAGCACGGCGACUGUGAGACGGUGACUGCGGGAAAGCCAUCGGCGUUAGCAAAGGGGAGGUGCCGACGUGGAGCUGCAAGAUAUCCUAAUGAAUCUUCGGAGUGAUUUCUGUACUCGGCAAGUACAACAGAGGAAUAGUCGAUUAUGAAGCAUAAGUAGCUAUGGGAGCUUGGAUUGGAAUCUAAAGCAGCUGUUGAAGCUCAACUAUGUUUGAUUGGGGUUCAACUAUUGAAGUUUUCAUCAAUGGAUGUGUUCAAUUUGUGCAGACUGAUAUCCUGCAGGCAAUAAGUGCUAUUAGCCAGAUAAACAUGAUGAGUUCAAUGGAGGAGUCAGAUUGGGCAUCCCUGCCAAAGAACUUAUCGGAUAUGAUUCUGGACAAGUUGGUUUCGUUUCUGAAUAUGUUCGAUUUGGUGUGGUUUGCAAACCAUAGCAGUGUGUGGCAAUUGACAACAAACUUAAAUUCAUUCAAAAUAAGUUUUUUAGACUAGUUCCAUUCUUGAUGGUGCCUUGGAAAGAUGAUACCGACAAAAGACGUAGUCUAUAUAGCAUCACUCAUAAUGAGCUAUAUGAUUUUCAUUUACGGGUGCCUUACAGAAAGAGGCUUUCUGGUUCCUUACAUGGUUGGCUGUUUACUGUGGAAGAAUCCUUGGGCGUAACUCUAAUGAAUCAUUUUUAUUGGCGCCACCAUUGAGCUUCCUCCAAUAAUAGACUGCUUAGAAUUUGAACCUCCUCAUGAAAAUGGCGGUGAUAGUGAUGGUGAGAUCUUAUACGAGAUUGACGCAGUUCCUCCUGAGGUUGAGCUUGAAGUUGCAAACACUAUAUCGCUAGUUGACCCUGCUUCGUAUCCUAAUAACUAUAUUGUUACCGCCAUCUGUGGUUGUCGUUCUAACCUGGCAUUUAUUUGAGCAGGAGAUGAAGCUUGGACUUACAUUAGAUAAAAAGAGAUUUUAGGUUUUCAAGUUGCUCUUAGAGCAAUUUGAGCAAGGUUGGCCUAUGCGGGUUGAAGUGAAUAACUUGGGCGGAGACACCACCCUGUUUUGGGGAGAUAACCAUUCCAUUUGUGUUUCAACUUCCAAAUGGCCCGGAUGUCAGGCAAAUUCAAUAUUCUACACAGAAGAUUAUAAUAUCAUUGUAUACUAUCCCGCAUCUGGGUGCCGCGACAUUGGUAUCUUCAACAUAGAGAAUGGAAGCAUUGGGACCCAUUACAUCCUUGAUCCUUCACAUAACCAUAUGCCACCCUCAAUUCGGAUUGUGCCAACUGUUUUAGGAAAAUGAGUAUAGACUUAAUUUGUUUUUGGAUUGUCUUUUAGUCAAAUCUAUUUUAAUUUAGUUUUUUUUUUGCUUAUCAUUUUGUGAUAAAGUAAUCUAUUUUUAUCUCUUGUUUUUUCAAAAUGUGAGAUCAAGCUUGCAAGACCUUUAAUUAAAUAUUAUUGUGGUUGUUUCUCAUUUCUUUUUUGUAUUAUAAAUAUUUCCUGAGCUAGAAUAUAUAUGUAUAUAUAUAUAUAUAUAUAUAUAUAUAUAUAUAUAUAUUUCUCUUCUUUUCUUUUCUUUAGACUACAUUUUUCUUAUAUUUGAUCUGCUUGGUUGCAGCCAAGUAGCCUUGGUUGCAGCCAAGUAGCCUUGCUUGCUAGUUACGUGGUAUGGCAAUUUCUUGAGGUUGCCAGAGUAUAAUUAAGUAUAGUCAAAUGUGGAUUCCUUUUCAUGUACUAAAGAAUUGGAUGACAUUCAUGAAGGAAGCCUAUGUAGUUGUUUGAAUUUUUUAUUUUUUAAAUUCCCUGACAUGUCUUGAUUUACUCUUGAGGGCUCGAUCAUAAUAAUGGAUCUGAGUUUGGUUGAAUGUAAAUCUAUUGUUGAUGAAUGAAUAGCUUAUUAUUGAGCUACUUGGUUAACGAGUAGUCGUCUUCACUUAUGAUGCCAAAACUGAUCAGCAGCAGAUAAUUUGAUUGAUUCCCCUGUAUAGGUUUUUAUUUGUAUAUCUGUCACAGUAGUUCUUUAAAGCAUGUGAAGAUUAAAAUGCUUUGCCAAAUUUAUAUAUAUAUUCUUUAGAUUUGGGUUGCUGGUUUAGAUGAUUAGAUCGAAUUUCAGUGCACAACUUGGUACUUCUGAUAUCAUUCUAUUAAUGGUGAAAGCUGCCGAGGCCAAAACCGAACGACUUGUUUAACACAUGUUUAGUGGUUUUUGAAGCUGUAGCUUCAGUAAUCAAAUUUUUUUUUUUUUUCAAAUGUUUUCUCUUUCUUUGAAUUAGUCCCUCAUUCUCUUGUAUGUCCCGGAUCUGCUACGUACUCUUUUCCAAAAACUUUUUCGUGCAUGUGCAUUUGUGGUUUGCUAGAUUGAAUGGUUCCUGCAAGUAUGUAUAUUUUCUUUUGUCAGUACUAUGAGCCUGACUUUAUAAUGAAUUCUGAGUUUUGCUUUUAUCUAUUAUUCUCUUUGCAGGCAAGAAUCUUAGCACUGAAUUCAUCAUAUAUCCUUACUGCAAGUUAAUGAGGAAAUGAUGGUGGAUGUAUAACAGCGGUAUAAAUAAACUGCUGCAGGAGCCCCUUUAUGCCAGCCUUUUUCUCUUAACUGCUGCCUAAGAGAUAUUGUGACCGCUGCUCAAACUAUUUUAUUAAUUUCCCCCCAGUUACCCAAAGUACUCUUUCGUGAAACUUAUCUUUCCUGCUCUACACCCGUCUCUCCUCUCUCUCGCACUACACACAAAACUGUUCAAGCCCAAAAAAAUUUAGAGAACAAUCAUCUAUCUCUGAGAAUUCCUCUCUUACUCUAUCUUCUCUCAAAGAUUACUCUUGUUUAUCUCUUGCAGUCACCCUCUCUCUAGCUCUCUCUCUUCUCUCACUUCAUAGCAAGAGUACAGAAUUUUCAUUGAAAUACGUAGUCCAGUCCUCAACUGGAAAAUCAAUCUCAACUUUUUCUUUCUCUCUCUACAUAUAAACAUAUUAUACAUAUAUAAAUAUAUGUGUAUUAGAGCUAAUUUAUCAGCAUGUGCCGAACUCUCGCUUAAAAAAAUAUUUGACAUACCUAUGCUGUUAGGACUAAAAUUAAUCAUUGCAUGUAGUUGAUUAUGAAGCAUAAGCACCCAUAGGAGCUCAAAUUGGAGUCUAAAGCAGCUAUUGAAGCUCAACUAAGUUUGAUUAGGGCUUAGCUGUGGAAGUUCUUUCGAUUUGGGCUGACUGAUUUCCUGCGGAUAAUAAGGAUAAGCAGCUAUUAGAGCUCAAAUCGGAAUCCAAAGCAGCUAUUGAAGCUCAACUGUGUUUGAUUGGGGCUCAACUGUUGGAGUUCUCAUCAAUGCAUGUGUUCGAUUUGGGCAGGCUGAUUUCCUGCGGGCAAAAAGCAGCUUAAGCAGUCAUAAUUGCUGAGAAUUCUCAAACUAUAUGGCAGCAGUUUAUCUGCUGGAAAAAACCAGAAUUAGAGUGGGAUUUUUUAAAGCCGCUAUUGAAACUCAACUGUUUUCAGUUAGGGCUCAGCUAUUGAAGUUUUUGUGGGGCGAUAAGGGGUGGGAAAAUUUGGUGAGAUUUGCUUCAAUAUUUUAGGCAAACUGCUAAGAUUCGACUAUGAUAAGUCAAUUUUUGCUCGGGAAGUGAAGAAGCUGCAGGCCGAGCAGUUUCAAGCCUAUUGAACCAUGUUGUGUUGUUGGAGCCUACUGUGUGCCGAAGUAACAAAACUUGCUACAUAGCCAAUUUGCGCUUCCUUGCCUUGGUGGAUUUUAAUUCGUGAAUUAAGAGGGAGAUGUCCUUCAUCUUACUGAAAUAAUAAUAGGAUAAUAGUCCUUUUAAUUCGUGAUUUUUAAUUCAUGCUUACUUGAGCAUAUAAACAUGUAUAUUGUAUAAAAAAAUGUGUAUUAGAGCUGAUUUAGCAGCAUGUGCAAACCUCUUUUAUUUUUCCUUAAUUGUACAAACCUCUCUUUCCAUCUCCCAUUGAAACAUAUUUUCCAUACAUGUGUUUUUAGCACUAGAUAAACAAAUGCAUGUGGUUGAUUAUGAAUUAUAAGGAGCAGCUAUUAAAAGCAUCUGAACUCAAAUGAUGCUGGCCAGCUAACUGAUCAGCAGCAGAUAAUUUGAUUGAUUCCCCUGUAUAGGUUUUUAUUUGUAUAUCUGUCAUAGUAGUUCUUUAAAGCAUGUGAAGAUUAAAAUGCUUUGCCAAAUUUUUAUAAAUAUUCUUUAGAUUUGGGUUACUGGUUUAGAUGAUUAGAUCUAAUUUCAGUGCAUAACUUAGUACUUCUGAUAUCAUUCUGUUAAUGGUGAAAGCUGCCGAGGCCAAACCCGAACGACUUGUUUAACACAUGUUUAGUGGUUUUUGAAGCUGUAGCUUCAGUAAUCAAUUUUUUUUUUUUUUUCCUUACAAAUGUUCUGUCUUUCUUUGAAUUAGUCCCUCAUUCUCUCGUAUGUCCCGGAUCUGCUACGAACUAUUUUCCCAAAACUUUUUCGUGCAUGUGCUUGUGUGGUUUGCUAGAUUGAGUGGUUCCUGCAAGUAUGUAUAUUUUCUUUUGUCAGUACUAUGAGCCUGACUUUAUAAUGAAUUACGAGUUUUGCUUUUAUCUAUUGUUCUCUUUGCAGGCAAGAAUCUUAGCACUGAAUUCAUCAUAUAUCCUUACUGCAAGUUAAUAAGGAAAUGAUGGUGGAUGUAUUGCAGCGGAAUAAAUAAACCGCUGCAGGAGCCCCUUUAUGCCAGCCUUUUUCUCUUAACUGCUGCCUAAGAGAUAUUGUGACCGCUGCUGAAACUAUUUUAUUAAUUUCCCCCCAGUUACCCGAAGUACUCUUCUGUGAACUUUUCUUUCCUGCUCUACGCCCGUCUCUCCUCUCUCUCGCACUACACACAAAACUGUUCAAGCCCAAAAAAAUUGAUAGAACAAUCAUCUGUCUCCGAGAAUGCCUCUCUGACUCUUAUCUUCUCUCAUAGAGUACUCUUGUUUCUCUCUUGCAGUUACCCUCUCUCUUCUCUCACUUCAUAGCAAGAAUACAGAAUUUUCAUUGAAAUACGUAGUCCAGUCCUUUAACUCGAAAAUCAAUGUCAACUCUUUCUUUCUCUCUCUACAUAUAAACAUAUUAUACAUAUAUAAAUAUGUGUAUUAGUGCUAAUUUAUCAGUAUGUACCGAACUCUCGCUUAAAAAAAUAUUUGCCAUACCUAUGCUGUUAGGACUAAAAUUAAUCAUUUCAUGUAGUCGAUUAUGAAGCAUUAACAACUAUAGGAGCUCAAAUCAGAGUCUAAAGCAGCUAUUGAAGCUCAAUUGUGUUUGAUUGGGUCUCAGCUAUGGAAGUUAUUUCGAUAUGGGCCGAUUGAUUUCCUGGACAAUAAGACAUUUUGUAGCAGCUUAAGCAGUCAUAAUUGCUGAGAAUUCUCAAACUAUAUGGCAGCAGUUUAUCUGCUGGAAAAACUCAGAAUUAGCGUGGGAUUUUCUAAAGCCGCUAUUGAAGCUCAACUGUUUUCGGUUAGGGCUCAGCUAUUGUGGGGCGAUAAGGAAGUGAAGAAGCUGCAGGCCGAGCAGUUUCAAGCCUAUUGAACCGGUCAUUUUUGAAUCUUUCGAAGGGAACACCGUGUUGUGUUGUUGGAGCCUAAUGUGUGCCAAAGUAACAAAACUUGCUACAUAGCCAAUUUGUGGUUCCUUGCCUUGGUAUUAGAGUGAUUUUAAUUCGUGAAUUAAGAGGGAGAUGUCCUUCAUCUUACUGAAAUAAUAAUAGGAUAAUAGUCCAUUUAAUUCGUGAAUUUUAAUUCAUGCUUGCUUGAGCAUAUAAACAUGUAUAUUGUAUAAAAAAAUGUGUAUUAGAGCUGAUCUGAUUUAGCAGCAUGUACAAACCUCAUCUUUUAUUUUUCCUUAAUUGUACAAACCUCUCUUUCCAUCUCCCAACGAAACAUAUUUUCCAUACAUGUGUUUUUAGCACUAGAUAAACAAAUGCAUGUGGUUGAUUAUGAAUCAUAAGGAGCAGCUAUUAAAAGCAUCUGAACUCAAAUGAUGCUGGCCAGCUAACAAUUGAUGUAAACGUCUUUGACUGCAGCAUCAAAGGUUAAUACUGGUCUCUCUC